rnacentral:rRNA from 1 species
CCUACGGGAGGCAGCAGUGGGGAAUCUUNCGCAAGGCGGCCAAGCCUGAUGCAGCCAUGCCGCGUGUGUGAUGAAGGCCUUCGGGUUGUAAAGCUCUUUCACCGGGGAGGAAAAUGAUAGGGCUAAUAACCUAGGCCCCUGAUAAUUCCCGGACAACAAGCGCGGUCUUACUCCAUGCCAGCAGCCGCGGUAAUA